CCUACGGGUGGCAGCAGUCGAGAAUCAUUCACAAUGGGGGAAACCCUGAUGGUGCGACGCCGCGUGGGGGAAUGAAGGUCUUCGGAUUGUAAACCCCUGUCAUGUGGGAGCAAAUUAAAAAGAUAGUACCCCAAGAGGAAGAGACUGCUAACUCUGUGCCAGCAGCCGCGGUAAUACAGAGGUCUCAAGCGUUGUUCGGAAUCACUGGGCGUAAAGCGUGCGUAGGCUGUUUCGUAAGUCGUGUGUGAAAGGCGCGGGCUCAACCCGCGGACGGCACAUGAUACUGCGAGACUAGAGUAAUGGAGGGGGAACCGGAAUUCUCGGUGUAGCAGUGAAAUGCGUAGAUAUCGAGAGGAACACUCGUGGCGAAGGCGGGUUCCUGGACAUUAACUGACGCUGAGGCACGAAGGCCAGGGGAGCGAAAGGGAUUAGAUACCCCUGUAGUC
rnacentral:rRNA from 1 species